AAUAAAUGUCCUGACCGAGAGGUUCAGUGCGCGAACGCCCCUGUGUGUUUUACAGGGGAAAACGAGAUGCUCGGGGUGGGUGAAGUCCAGAGAGGUCGCCCCUCAUCCCCCAUGGAUUCUCCUCUGCAUCUCUGCGGCUGCGAAACCCGCAUGUUGCGUGUCAAGCAUUUUUUUACAGGCUGGGAAAUUAAAGCAGAGCCAGUGAGCUGCACUGACAGGUGGCACCUGUUAUUCCUAAGUGACCUUAAUCACUUUUUUGGAUUGACAGAUCAAAUUUGCCAUCAACUCUGCCACUUCCCAACCAAAACUGGUAGGAAACAUACUAAGACAGAAAAAGAGAUAAUUACGGCAAGAAGUAUUUUCUGUCUGGUGAGUUGG